rnacentral:rRNA from 1 species
UAGGGAAUAUUGGUCAAUGGAGGAAACUCUGAACCAGCCAUGCCGCGUGAAGGAUGAAGGCUUUCUGAGUCGUAAACUUCUUUUAUAUAGGAAGAAAAAGCCAUGCGUGGUUAUAUGACGGUACUAUAUGAAUAAGCACCGGCUAACUCCGUGCCAGCAGCCGCGGUAAUACGGAGGGUGCAAGCGUUGUCCGGAAUUAUUGGGUUUAAAGGGUGCGUAGGCGGACUAAUAAGUCAGAGGUGAAAUCCUGCAGCUUAACUGUAGAACUGCCUUUGAUACUGUUAGUCUUGAGUAAAGUAUAGGUAGGCGGAAUUUAUGGUGUAGCGGUGAAAUGCAUAGAUACCAUAAAGAACACCGAUAGCGAAGGCAGCUUACUGGACUUUUACUGACGCUGAGGCACGAAAGCGUGGGUAGCGAACGGG